rnacentral:lncRNA from 1 species
UGUGUGUGGCGGGGGGGAGGUGGUUCUUUUCUCUAAAAAGGCUUUCUUCUUUAUUAAAAAAUGAUGCAAAUAAGGACCAUUCUUCCCCAGGUCUUGGAUGUUGCUGUAUGAAGAGGAGAUGCUCAGACCUUUUCCAUCUGCCUUGCAGUCAUGAGGAGACAACUAUUGUAAAUGAACCAACCACAACAGUCAUCUGGAUGGCAACUUGCAUCACGUGAAUCAAGAAUCCAAGGCAAGUCAGAUCCACUAUAGCCUAACCCUAUCUCCAAACAGAUGUGAGAUCUACUAUCCAGUUGUGUAAUCUCCAUACUUCCUCCCUCUGUAUUUGAAGCAUGAUAUGAGUUUAUGAAGGAAGAUAAAAAAGAGAUAAGUAAUUAAAUGAAGGAGAAAACAAGUCCAGGACUAAGAUGGUAGGUUUGAAACUUAGAUUGUAUGUCUACAAAUUGGUAAAAACCAAGUAGACAAUGACUCUUCCCCUUUCCUGCUCAGGAUUGUCUGUCUUCAUUUGGUAGAGUGAGGCAAAAUCAUGGUUAAACAGUAAAUGCAAAUAUCACGAUUCCUGACUUCAUUUAGCCUCGCUGCAUUUAUUAAAACUUAUAUAUAACAUCUUGCCUAUCCAAAAUAUAACAUAUGGACCACGUGGGUGAGUGUGUUAGCAGAACCUUUACUUGUACAGCCUUUGAUUGUGGAGGCUUCAAAAUAACCUGAAUGUUAAAUCACUAUUUAAAAUAAAAUAAAAAAAAGAUUUUGACUUUUUAAAACC